rnacentral:rRNA from 1 species
ACCACGAGAGGUGGGGACGUCAGGCGGGACCGGCCGGUGACAAACCGGAGGAAGUGGGGACGACGUCAAGUCAUCAUGGCCCUUAUGUCCUGGGCUACACACGUGCUACAAUGGCCGGUACAGAGCGCAGCGAGGCCGCGAGGCGGAGCGAAUCGCUUAAAGCCGGUCCCAGUACGGAUUGGAGUCUGCAACCCGACUCCAUGAAGUUGGAAUCGCUAGUAAUCGCGCAUCAGCCAUGGCGCGGUGAAUACGUUCCCGGGCCUU